UCCCUGGUAGUAUAUCGGCUAGUACACGCGCCUGUCAUAGGAACGCGCGAAAGCGGGGUUCGACUCCCCGCCAGGGAG